rnacentral:rRNA from 1 species
UACGGAGGGGGCUAGCGUUGUUCGGAAUUACUGGGCGUAAAGCGCACGUAGGCGGCUUGGUAAGUUAGAGGUGAAAGCCUGGAGCUCAACUCCAGAAUUGCCUUUAAGACUGCCGAGCUAGCAGGUGAGAGAGGUGAGUGGAAUUCCGAGCGUAGAGGUGAAAUUCGUAGAUAUUCGGAAGAACACCAGUGGCGAAGGCGGCUCACUGGCUCAUACUGGACGCUGAGGUGCGAAAGCGUGGGGAGCAAACAGG